GCUGUGAUGGCCGAGUGGGGAAAGCGUCGGACUCGAAAUCCAGUGGGGUUUCCCCGCGCAGGUUCGAAUCCUGCUUCCAGCA